UACAGAGGUCCCAAGCGUUGUUCGGAUUCACUGGGCGUAAAGGGUGCGCAGGUGGCUGGGUAAGUUUGAUGUGAAAGCCCCGGGCUUUAACCCGGGAACGGCAUUGGAAUACUAUUCGGCUGGAGGAUUGGAGGGGGGACUGGAAUUCUUGGUGUAGCAGUGAAAGUGCGUAGAUAUCAAGAGGAACACCAGUGGCGAAGGCGAGUCCCUGGACA
rnacentral:rRNA from 1 species